UACAGAGACUGCAGGCGUUAUUCGGAUUCACUGGGCGUAAAGGGUGCGCAGGCGGCCAAGUGUGUGAGGCGUGAAAGCCCGGGGCUUAACUCCGGAAUUGCACCUCAAACUACAUGGCUAGAGCAUUGGAGAGGGUAGCAGAAUUCACGGUGUAGCAGUGAAAUGCGUAGAUAUCGUGAGGAAUACCAGAGGCGAAGGCGGCUACCUGGACAAUUGCUGACGCUCAGGCACGAAAGCGUGGGGAGCAAAAGGG
rnacentral:rRNA from 1 species